rnacentral:rRNA from 1 species
AGCGAACGCUGGCGGUAGGCCUAACACAUGCAAGUCGAACGACAUCUUCGUAGUUAGUGGCGGUCGGGUGAGUAAAACGUGGGAACGUGCCGUUAGGCUCGGGAUAACACAUGGUAACUUGUGCUAAUACAGGAUGAGUCCUUCGGGGGACAGAUUCAACUUACUUAGUGCAGCAGGCGUUUGAUUAGUUAGUUGGUGAGGUAAGGGCCGACCAAGGCUAAGAUAAGUAGCUGGUCUGAGAGGCAGACAGGCCACACUUGGACUGUGCCACGGCCCAGACUACUGCGGGAGGCAGCAAUGGGGAAUCUUGCGCAAUGGGCGAAAGCAAGACGCAGCCAUGGCGCUUGAAUCAUUAAGUUCUUAGGAUUGUAAAACUCUUUCACAGGGGACUAUAAUGACGGUACCCGGAGAAUAAGCCCCGGCUAACUUCGUG